rnacentral:rRNA from 1 species
UACGGAAGGUGCAAGCGUUAAUCGGAAUCAUUGGGCGUAAAGCGCCUGUAGGUUGUUUAAUAAGUCUGUUGUUAAAGACUGGGGCUUAACCCCAGGAAAGCAAUGGAAACUACUAGACUAGAGUAUGGUAGGGGUAAAGGGAAUUUCUAGUGUAGCGGUGAAAUGCGUAGAUAUUAGAAAGAACACCGGUGGCGAAAGCGCUUUACUGGACCAUUACUGACACUCAGAGGCGAAAGCUAGGGUAGCCAAAGGGAUUAGAUACCCCUGUAGUCCUAGCCGUAAACGAUGGAUACUAGAUGUUGCGCUUAUUGUGCAGUGUCGUAGCUAACGCGUUAAGUAUCCCGCCUGGGGAGUACGAUCGCAAGGUUG